rnacentral:rRNA from 1 species
GAUGAACGCUGGCGGCGUGCCUAAUACAUGCAAGUCGAGCGAACGGACGAGAAGCUUGCUUCUCUGAUGUUAGCGGCGGACGGGUGAGUAACACGUGGAUAACCUACCUAUAAGACUGGGAUAACUUCGGGAAACCGGAGCUAAUACCGGAUAAUAUUUUGAACCGCAUGGUUCAAAAGUGAAAGACGGUCUUGCUGUCACUUAUAGAUGGAUCCGCGCUGCAUUAGCUAGUUGGUAAGGUAACGGCUUACCAAGGCAACGAUGCAUAGCCGACCUGAGAGGGUGAUCGGCCACACUGGAACUGAGACACGGUCCAGACUCCUACGGGAGGCAGCAGUAGGGAAUCUUCCGCAAUGGGCGAAAGCCUGACGGAGCAACGCCGCGUGAGUGAUGAAGGUCUUCGGGUCGUAAAACUCUGUUAUUAGGGAAGAACAUAUGUGUAAGUAACUGUGCACAUCUUGACGGUACCUAAUCAGAAAGCCACGGCUAACUACGUGCCAGCAGCCGCGGUAAUACGUAGGUGGCAAGCGUUAUCCGGAAUUAUUGGGCGUAAGCGCGCGUAGGCGGUUUUUUAGUCUGAUGUGAAAGCCCACGGCUCAACCGUGGAGGGUCAUUGGAAACUGGAAAACUUGAGUGCAGAAGAGGAAAGUGGAAUUCCAUGUGUAGCGGUGAAAUGCGCAGAGAUAUGGAGGAACACCAGUGGCGAAGGCGACUUUCUGGUCUGUAACUGACGCUGAUGUGCGAAAGCGUGGGGAUCAAACAGGAUUAGAUACCCUGGUAGUCCACGCCGUAAACGAUGAGUGCUAAGUGUUAGGGGGUUUCCGCCCCUUAGUGCUGCAGCUAACGCAUUAAGCACUCCGCCUGGGGAGUACGACCGCAAGGUUGAAACUCAAAGGAAUUGACGGGGACCCGCACAAGCGGUGGAGCAUGUGGUUUAAUUCGAAGCAACGCGAAGAACCUUACCAAAUCUUGACAUCCUUUGACAACUCUAGAGAUAGAGCUUUCCCCUUCGGGGGACAAAGUGACAGGUGGUGCAUGGUUGUCGUCAGCUCGUGUCGUGAGAUGUUGGGUUAAGUCCCGCAACGAGCGCAACCCUUAAGCUUAGUUGCCAUCAUUAAGUUGGGCACUCUAAGUUGACUGCCGGUGACAAACCGGAGGAAGGUGGGGAUGACGUCAAAUCAUCAUGCCCCUUAUGAUUUGGGCUACACACGUGCUACAAUGGACAAUACAAAGGGCAGCGAAACCGCGAGGUCAAGCAAAUCCCAUAAAGUUGUUCUCAGUUCGGAUUGUAGUCUGCAACUCGACUACAUGAAGCUGGAAUCGCUAGUAAUCGUAGAUCAGCAUGCUACGGUGAAUACGUUCCCGGGUCU